CCUACGGGUGGCAGCAGUGGGGAAUAUUGCACAAUGGGGGAAACCCUGAUGCAGCGACGCCGCGUGAGUGAAGAAGUAUUUCGGUAUGUAAAGCUCUAUCAGCAGGAACGAGACAAGACGGUACCUGACUAAGAAGCCCCGGCUAACUACGUGCCAGCAGCCGCGGUAAUACGUAGGGGGCAAGCGUUAUCCGGAAUCACUGGGUGUAAAGGGAGCGUAGACGGCUGAGCAAGCCUGAAGUGAAAGGCGGGGGCCCAACCCCUGGACUGCUUUGGGAUCUGUACGGCUGGAGUACAGGAGAGGUAAGUGGAAUUCCUAGUGUAGCGGUGAAAUGCGUAGAUAUUAGGAGGAACACCAGUGGCGAAGGCGGCUUACUGGACUGUAACUGACGUUGAGGCUCGAAAGCGUGGGGAGCAAACAGGAUUAGAUACCCCAGUAGUC
rnacentral:rRNA from 1 species